AUGGAGGACUUUGACUACAGUGUGGAGAUCUGUGAGCAAGACUGGGAAUGCUUCUUUGUGGAGUGCGAGGAGUGUAGCCUCCUUCCUCCUUCAUUAGCAGGUGUGGACGACUCGGGGAUGAGUGACAUUGAUGAUACACGGUCCAUUCUUUCUAAGAGGGUUGAGAAAGUCGACCUCACAGCAGGCUUUUCAGAGUCUGACCGCCCCAUCGAUGGCCCCCCAGACUGUGAGGGCUCUCCUGUGGAGCAUUACCUCAGUAAACACACCGUCGGUGGAAUGGAGAGCGUGCUCUCGGGCAGUGAGGAGGACAUACACCUGCAGUCUGUCAAUAUAUUCUUUGAAAGGUUGAAAAAUCUUACAGAGGCGGAGAGGCUUUCUGAGCCAAGCAAAGUGAGAGAUGGAAAAAAACAGGAGGCAAUACGUGAGGAGCAGCGGUGUAGUGGUUGGCAACAAGCCAGCAGCAGUUCUUUGCCAAAACACAUCCCCAAGUUAAGCUCCCUGCCAGCCAGCGGUGAAACAGCAGUUGGCAAAGAGACAACAAAGCCUGUCAACACCAUCAGCAACAUAAACACAAUAAAAAAAGGCAUGCCUGGUUCCAACACUUCCCCUGAACCUGCAGCCAGGAUCGCAGUGCUCAAGGCUAACAAAUCAGCGUACCCUGAAUCAAGGUUAUUCGUCAGAGAAGAUGCCUGUACAGAAACCAGAGUAAAAAAGGCAACGCAAGUGAAUCAGUCUCGAAACUCACCCGAGGGGGUCGUCUGCGCAGAAACAACACCUGACACUGCGAUAAAGGAGGAAACGGAUGAUGUUAAGCAGGAAGGUUUGUUGACAAGUCAGUUAACUCUCAGUAAAAAGUGUAGCACUGAUUCAUUGAGUAAUCUAGAAAUGGUGAAACAUGUUAAACGGAAGGAAGACCUUAAUGUUUUGCAGUCAGACGCAGCACGCACAAACAAAACAGCGAGCCAAGAAUCGUCUCCAUCUGCUUCUUCCAGAAGAAAGAGAAGGAAGAAAAGACGACUCGGCGUUGAGCCAGCUGAGGGUGGGCAUAGAUACGAGAGGCAGGUUUCAGUCAAGCCGAGUGACUCAGAGGAGGAGCAGUAUCCAUGGAGAGGAGGAACGAGUCUGUGUUUAUUUAAAAAUACAAAUUUGUCGCAUUUAAACGAACCACAAACAAAUUGUAUGUCCACUUUAACUACACAUUCUGCCACCAGCAAUCUCCCUGGGAAGAUAUCUGCUAAGGAGACCAAAGUGAAAGAUCCUCUAUGUGACAUACAAUACCAAUAUUUACCAGAAGGCUUCAUCAGAAAAGGAAGGUGUAAAGCAGCAGGCUCGUCUGAACAUAAUGCAACUAAUGAUGGGUUACUAACCCCACAAAGUCAAAAUGACAACAGUGAUAAUGUGGCAACUAAUUUACAGCCAUGCAGCAAAUUACAUGCAGAAGAAUCAACUGUGUUGCCCGUUUCAAUUACUAACGGUGUACCUGGUAAAUCACACCUGGCCACAGAAACGGCAAACUGUGAAAGAAAGGACACUCGUGCCGGGAGUCUCCGGCAGUCUGACAAAAUGAAUCAUUCUAUCAUUUGUUAUAAAAUUGAAGAAAAUCCAGAAUUUUGUACAGCAGAGGUCAAAUCAAUAAGUAUUUUACCAAGCGCAGAGUCAAAUGAUCCCGCUGUGGAAGUCAGCCAAAAUGUCAAACUGUCUUCUGCUAAGUCGGUCCUGGCUGUAGAGGCUGGACAUUCUGGCAGAGACAACCACACACUGUGUCGAAGAGAGGCUGAGCCCCAACAACAGCUGGAAAUUGACUGUCAAGACACAGACCGAUAUAGAUCUACACUGGAAAAUACUCACUUUCCUCUGGCUGCAUGCACUUCUGAUUCAAACAACACACAACUCAAGCAAUUUGAAACUAGAGCCUGUGCAUUCUUGGACGAGAUUUCCAGUGAUGCAUUACCUGAUAUACACCAUCUGGCUAAAAGUCCCUCCGGUUCAGAUAUGAGUAUUAAAGCACAGCAAACAGAAUAUCCUCUGGUGCGUCAGACAUUAUCCAAAUGUGAUGAUGUAUCAGAAAAAAACACAACAUAUGAGAGAACUGAAUUGGCAGCAUCACAAACGGUGGCUUGUCAAAGUAGGAAUCCCUUCUUAUCUGAUACACCAGUAUCAUCCUGCUGCACUCUGGACACAGCAUCUGUCAUGUUACUGUCAAAUGAAAAUAUCACAGACGUGUCAGGAAGUUCUUGUUUAUCCGUCGAUCAAAAUGACCCUGAAGGAGGAGACAAAACAUCACUAAUGCUGGCAAAACACGAGGAAGGAGAUGACACAUCUAAAUCCAAAAGCCUGUCUGCAGCAAAUGACACGACGGGUUCAAACUGGGAUUUAAUGGUCAAAGCAGAAGACGUCAUCUCAGCAUCUAAAGCAAAUUGUGAGCUUGAAAAGGCACCAGAUUCAAAAGAUUCAGUGUUCGCUAUGUCUUCUUUUUGGAAUGAGAUGGAGAAGCUGACAAUAAAUGAUAUUCUGGGUUUACGAAUGAUCAGCAAUGGUGCUCCACGCAGCUCCCUCACACCGUUACAGGAAUGUGAGGAGACCGACAUGUUUGCUAUGACUGAUUCAGGCUUUUUUACUCAUCUGGAUGAGUCCAAGCCUGAACAAACCAAUGAGGACACAUCCAGCGAUCCUUACCCUGCACAAUCAAGUUCUGUUAGCACAGUCUGUUCUUCCUCUGCUAGAGGUGUUAUGUGGGAGAGUCUAGGGGCUGAUACUUACCCUGAGAAUAUGAUGUUGACAUCUGCUGGGGACUUUUCCCGACCAGCCCACCCUGGAGGUGCUCAAACGUGCCUCAGAAAGAUUUCUAAAAAUGUAAGCAUACACAAUCUACAUGUCCUGGAUUCUGAGUCUUUCAGCUUCACACAGAAAGGCCACAUUUCACAGACCUUAGACGAAGGAGAACUACAAAAAGUAGAGUAUGUCAGUGAUGGACUCGUGCCUAAGCAAGACAAAGACGUCAACGCUUUAGCCUCAUUUUCAACAGACAGCUACAGAAUCUCUCUCACAGAUAUAUUUCGGUAUCUGUUCAGUGGAAAGCAAUCAAUUCCCAACCAAUCAGCCACAGAUAACAUAACCACCUGCUACACUGAUGGAAAUUCUGUCCCUGAAACGUAUGAUCAUUUCUUCUCCGAGUUUGAUACAGAAAGCUUCUUCUACCCUCUCAUCGCCAAAGAAGAGCUGGUUCCUAUCUUUUCCUCCUCUCGCUCAGCUAAUAGAAACCUGCAGUUCCCUGAGGCCUAUGAGCACUUCUUUUCAUCUUCUUCUUCUGAUGAUUCUUCUGGGGAAUCUGAUGAAGAAGAUGGUUGCGGUCCUGUGAGGGUGGUGACCAGGUUCAGCCUUACAUCAAGAGCAUCUCAGAUUUCUACAGACAUAUAUGAGAAUUUCUUCACAGAUAGCGACCUCAGACAGAACUUCUUUUGGAAAACCACACUCUCCUUCAGGAACAUUAGUUUGACCAAAUCUACAGUCCAGAAGGAAACACCCUCAAACCCUCUAUCUGCUGUACCUGUGAGGCAAGGUGGCAGAUCCAUUGAAAGGACAGUUCAUCCUCUAAAUGCUCGGGGAAAGAAAGACGUGAUGUUUCCUGAUCCACUUCUCUACCACCUGGAUGACAGGAUCUACUCACCACUAGCGCAGCAGCCUUUCAGAUACGAGGAUGUACAGACGACUGUUUCAAAUCCAAGUAAGUCCAGAUUCACACAAGUAUGUAUCGUUAUAGAUAACCAUGAGGUUUUAUGA
ensembl:lncRNA